UACGUAGGGUGCGAGCGUUGUCCGGAAUUAUUGGGCGUAAAGAGCUCGUAGGCGGUGUGUCACGUCGGCCGUGAAAACCUGCAGCUUAACUGUGGGCGUGCGGUCGAUACGGGCAUCACUGGAGUUCGGCAGGGGAGACUGGAAUUCCUGGUGUAGCGGUGAAACGCGCAGAUAUCGGGAGGAACACCGGUGGCGAAGGCGGGUCUCUGGGCCGUAACUGACGCUGAGGAGCGAAAGCAUGGGGAGCGAACAGG
rnacentral:rRNA from 1 species